rnacentral:rRNA from 1 species
AAGGCUUCAGUACGACCCAGUCAGAACCAUAAGUCUCAAAGCCCCGACGAGUAGGGUGGCGUGCCGGUGCGCGUUGAAGGCCAAGACGUGAGUCAGGCUGGAGCCGCCGGUAGUGCAGAUCUUGGUGGUAGUAGCAAGUACUCUGGUGAACCAACCUGGAGCUGUGAGGUCUGGAUCAGGGUUCCAUGUCAACAGUGAUUGAACAUGGGUGAGUCGAUCCUAAGCCAACUGUGAAAGCAGUGACAUCCCGACAAAGGGGCUUUUUCGUGCGCUGCACCUCUUGCACCCCCAGGGCCGUGAGUGCUCAAGUAUCUCUCUCUCUCAAACACACAAAAAAGGUGCUUGGUUUGGGGCGCGUGCUCGCACACACGGAGAUCGCAUUUAAAAUGCGUGAGUGUGAUGCGAGUCGCGCUUGUCUGGGGCUCGCGGGCGCGUACACACGGCGAUCGCAUUUAAAAUUCGUGCGUGAGUGUGUGCGCGUUGCGCUUGACUGGGGUUGAUGCUCGCGGGCGCGUACGCACGGCGAUCGCAUUUAAAAUUCGUGCGUGAGGGUGUGCGCGUUGCGCUUGAUUCUGGUUACGCUCAUUAGCGUUGAGGCUAUCUCUGUUCUGGUACACACGGAGAGAGAGAGAGAAAUAAAAAAUGGGUGAGCGCGAGAGGCUGCUCUUGCAUGAGCUUCCUGCGUCUGGUUCCAUGUCUGGCGAAAGGGAAUGGGGACUUUGUUCCUUGACCGGUCCCGGCACCCUCGAUUGGCUUUGCCAGUUAAUGGUCCAUGCAAAUGGAACCAGGCCACAGCCGCCGGCAGUCGCCCGAGGAAGAGUUUUCUUUUCUGCUUAACGCACGAGGUCAUCCCUGGAAACAGUUCGGCUGGCGAAAGGGUGCCCCGUUGCGGCAGAGCGCCACGACUGUCGUGCGCGUCUCGGUGUUCCUGCCGGUCCGUGAAAACGUGGUCGAGGGGAUUGCUGUAUUGUAUCAACGAAACGCCCGACAAGUUCGGGACGGACCGUACCCUAUAUCCGCAUCUGGUCUCCAAGGUUCGUAGCCUCUGCAGAGUCAGACACAUGUAGGUAAGGGAAGUCGGCAAACUCGAUCCGUAACUUCGGGAAAAGGAUUGGCUCUGAGGGCCGAGCUGGGCCGGGCCUUGCCUGCAAAGCAGUACCUAUAGUGACCGGAGUUUCAGGAGUGCGAGGGGCUCUAGUAGCUGCUCGUGCGUGUGUGCGUUCGCGCGUGCGCGCGUGUGGGCACGAACGAGUUCACCGCUCCGCUCCAACCACGAACGGCUGUGACGGCAAGGGCUCUGGGCGGGAGCGAUCAAACCGUUGGCCUCCAGCUCGUCUGGCUGGCGGCGGUGCUCCGUCUGACCCAUACGGCUCCAGCGGCUAGCGGCUAACUCAGAACUGUCAUGGACCAAGGGAAUCCGACUGUCUAAUUAAAACAAAGCGUCGUGACGGCCCCUGUUGGGUGUUGACGCGACGUGAUUUC